rnacentral:rRNA from 1 species
GUGGGGAAUCUUGCGCAAUGGGCGAAAGCCUGACGCAGCCAUGCCGCGUGAAUGAUGAAGGUCUUAGGAUUGUAAAAUUCUUUCACCGGGGACGAUAAUGACGGUACCCGGAGAAGAAGCUCCGGCUAACUUCGUGCCAGCAGCCGCGGUAAUACGAAGGUGGCUAGCGUUGCUCGGAAUUACUGGGCGUAAAGGGCGCGUAGGCGGACAGCUUAGUCAGAGGUGAAAGCCCAGGGCUCAACCUUGGAAUUGCCUUUGAUACUGGCUGUCUUGAGUUUGGGAGAGGUGAGUGGAACUCCGAGUGUAGAGGUGAAAUUCGUAGAUAUUCGGAAGAACACCAGUGGCGAAGGCGACUCACUGGCCCAAUACUGACGCUGAGGCGCGAAAGCGUGGGGAGCAAACAGGAUUAGAUACCCGUGUAGUCC